CCUACGGGAGGCAGCAGUGGGGAAUUUUGGACAAUGGGCGCAAGCCUGAUCCAGCAAUGCCGCGUGAGUGAAGAAGGCCUUCGGGUUGUAAAGCUCUUUUGUCAGGGAAGAAACGGUGGGGGCUAAUAUCUCCUGCUAAUGACGGUACCUGAAGAAUAAGCACCGGCUAACUACGUGCCAGCAGCCGCGGUAAUACGUAGGGUGCAAGCGUUAAUCGGAAUUACUGGGCGUAAAGCGUGCGCAGGCGGUUUUGUAAGUUUGUCGUGAAAUCCCCGGGCUCAACCUGGGAAUGGCGAUGAAGACUGCAAGGCUAGAAUCUGGCAGAGGGGGGUAGAAUUCCACGUGUAGCAGUGAAAUGCGUAGAGAUGUGGAGGAACACCGAUGGCGAAGGCAGCCCCCUGGGUCAAGAUUGACGCUCAUGCACGAAAGCGUGGGGAGCAAACAGGAUUAGAUACCCUGGUAGUCCACGCCCUAAACGAUGUCUACUAGUUGUCGGGUUUUAAUUAACUUGGUAACGCAGCUAACGCGUGAAGUAGACCGCCUGGGGAGUACGGUCGCAAGAUUAAAAACCCCGAAAGUAGUAGUACGGCGUGUAGAACGUCGCCGACCGACGGACCAACCGAACGGGGAAGGGUUAAGG
rnacentral:rRNA from 1 species